rnacentral:snRNA from 1 species
CGAAACGACCAGACUGUCG